ACGGCUCAGUAACACGUGGUCAACAUACCCAGAGGACGUGGAUAACCUCGGGAAACUGAGGAUAAACCGCGAUAGACCAUAAUGUCUGGAAUGAUUUAUGGUUCAAAUCUAUAUGGCCUCUGGAUUGGACUGCGGCCGAUCAGGCUGUUGGUGAGGUAAUGGCCCACCAAACCUGAAACCGGUACGGGCUCUGAGAGGAGAAGCCCGGAGAUGGGCACUGAGACAAGGGCCCAGGCCCUAUGGGGCGCAGCAGGCGCGAAACCUUUGCAAUAGGCGAAAGCCUGACAAGGUUACUCUGAGUGAUCUCCGCUAAGGAAAUCUUUUGACACCUCUAAAAAUGGUGUAGAAUAAGGGGUGGGCAAGCCUGGUGUCAGCCGCCGCGGUAAUACCAGCACCCCGAGUGGUCGGGACGAUUAUUGGGCCUAAAGCAUCCGUAGCCGGUUCUUUAAGUCCUCCGUUAAAUCCACCUGCUUAACAGAUGGGCUGCGGAGGAUACUAUAGAGCUAGGAGGCGGGAGAGGCAAGCGGUACUCAGUGGGUAGGGGUAAAAUCCGUUGAUCCAUUGAAGACCACCAGUGGCGAAGGCGGCUUGCCAGAACGCGCUCGACGGUGAGGGAUGAAAGCUGGGGGAGCAAACCGGAUUAGAUACCCGGGUAGUCCCAGCUGUAAACGAUGCAGACUCGGUGAUGAACAGGCUUCGUGCCUGUUCAGUGCCGCAGGGAAGCCGUUAAGUCUGCCGCCUGGGGAGUACGGUCGCAAGACUGAAACUUAAGGGAAUUGGCGGGGGAG
rnacentral:rRNA from 1 species